rnacentral:rRNA from 1 species
UACGUAGGGUGCAAGCGUUGUCCGGAAUUAUUGGGCGUAAAGAGCUCGUAGGCGGUUUGUCGCGUCUGCUGUGAAAACUCGAGCUCAACCUCGAGACGCCGGUGGAAACCAUCAGACUAGAGUCCGGAAGAGGAGAGUGGAAUUCCUGGUGUAGCGGUGAAAUGCGCAGAUAUCAGGAAGAACACCCGUGGCUAAGGCGGCUCUCUAGUACGGUACUGACGCUGAGACGCGAAAGCGUGGGGAGCGAACAGG